rnacentral:rRNA from 1 species
UACGUAGGGUGCAAGCGUUAAUCGGAAUUACUGGGCGUAAAGCGUGCGCAGGCGGUUCGCUAAGACCGAUGUGAAAUCCCCGGGCUUAACCUGGGAACUGCAUUGGUGACUGGCGGGCUAGAGUACGGUAGAGGGGGAUGGAAUUCCGCGUGUAGCAGUGAAUGCGUAGAUAUGCGGAGGAACACCGAUGGCGAAGGCAAUCCCCUGGACCUGUACUGACGCUCAUGCACGAAGCGUGGGAGC